CGGAUACUGAGGUGUUCUGUUAUGUGCAGGUGGAAUUAGAGACGGUACCCUGGAGUGAAACACUUAACCGUUUGCAUGGUGCAAGAUGGCGAGAUCACUGCUUCUAUCAGGAGUCUUCUUCUUCUGGGAACCCUAUUCAGGCCAAAAAGAAUCCAAGGAGAUCACACACAAGGUUUACUUCGAUAUGAAGCGGUAUGACCUUGUUCCUUAGUUUAACUCUUGUGAUUCAUGAGUUGAUGCACCUACUAGUGUUUUAUUUUAAAAGACUACAUGAACUGAAAUGUCUUUUGUGUUUAAACGACUAUCUUAGACUUGUGUGUUUAACGACUAUCUUAGACCUUUAUGUCAGAAUGCAUGAGUUAUCAUUUAACCUAUUAUCAGUACGUACAGUCCGUACCUACAUCGUCCGUGUUACAAAGUCUUCAUCAAAUCCCUAGCAAAUAUGUUUGUCAAAGUCUUCUCUCAAAUUGAAGUUCAAAGAAAAAUAUACAUACUGAGUGUGUCAGCCAAAGUGUUUCAUGACUCUCAGAAUAGAAAAAGAGAUGAAUUAAGAAAGCGAAGUUUUGCUCAA